AUCUUCUUAUUUUCUUAAUCAUAUAUUGUCCAUAUCUACAUGCCUUUAGAAAAGCCGCCCAGAUGUAUUGAUGUGUCAUUGUCCGUAGGGGAAUCUUAGGGAAACUAAUGAUGGGUUUAGCUUUUAGCCAGUUGAGGGGAUAAGCAACUCUCGGGUUGUAGCUGUGACAAGUAGCAAAUUGGUUGAAGAAGUGGCAAACCGAGACUUAGAGCUAGGGGUGGUAAUGGGCCAUUUAAUUUAGCCUAGCAAAUUUAAGGAUCAAGUCAAGUUAGGGCCGGAUCAUAAAACAAUACAAUUUUGAACUAACAAAAUUAAGGGCCUUGUUGGUUUGUGAAGCAAGUAUUAGGGUCAUGAUCCAUUACCACCUCUACUUAGAGCAUGUUUGUUUGAGAUUAUAAUUUGCAUAGGUUAUAUAAUCUAACUUAUUUUGAACUAAACGUUCCUUCAAAAUAAGUCAGAUUAUAUAAUAUUAUAAUCCCAAACAAACAUGCCUUUAAUUGACAACAACCUAGAACAUUUUGCAAGAGUUUAUUGGCAUAUCUUCAUAAUGCUUUUCUUUGCAUCGUUGUUUGCGAUGACAGAGAAUCACAAUGCAAUUUCUGCCACACCUUACCAUUAUGCACCAGACAUUUUGUUUGCGUAACCUUGAUCCACGCAUGCCGUUACUAAUCUGAAAUAUGUUGAUGCAGGGAGGGAAGAAGUUCCUGAGCUACUUCCGGUGUUGUAUCAAGGCCUGAAGAGGUGCUGCUCUAGUGCCUGCAGUCCCUGUGUUUUUUUUUCGCAGCAGAACACUUGUGAGCAAUCAGGCCUCGGUUUUGUUAAGUACCCCGUGUCCAAAAACGUGUAAUAUAUUUGUCCUUAUGGAUCAGUCGUUGGGCCUGUAUGAAGAACAGACCAGUUUAUGGGGUAAGCAACGUUCUUUUUGUACACAUACAUCACCAUCGAUUUGUCCUUGAUACGAUCAAGGGGCAUGGUUCGAAUGAAUUGGUUUUGUAAUUAUGAUG
rnacentral:lncRNA from 7 species